rnacentral:tRNA from 1 species
UCGGAUAUGGUGUAACGGCUAACAUUGCCGCCUCUCAUGAUCUCGGGAUUCGAACCCCGGAAAGGAUCGCGGCAGCUCGGGGUUCGAUUCCCCGUAUCCGAA